GUGGCUGUAGCUCAGUCGGUUAGAGCGCCAGAUUGUGGUUCUGGAGGUCGCGGGUUCGAUUCCCGUCAGCCACCCCA
rnacentral:tRNA from 1 species